rnacentral:rRNA from 1 species
ACGAACGCUGGCGGCGUGCUUAACACAUGCAAGUCGAACGGUGAAGCGCCUUCCUUUUUGGUGGGUGUGGAUGAGUGGCGAACGGGUGAGUAACACGUGAGUAACCUGCCCCCUUCUUCUGGAUAACCGCAUGAAAGUGUGGCUAAUACGGGAUAUUCUGGGUCUGUCGCAUGAUGGGUCUGGGAAAGACAUUGUUUCGGUGGGGGAUGGGCUCGCGGCCUAUCAGCUUGUUGGUGGGGUGAUGGCCUACCAAGGCGGUGACGGGUAGCCGGCCUGAGAGGGUGGACGGUCACACUGGGACUGAGACACGGCCCAGACUCCUACGGGAGGCAGCAGUGGGGAAUAUUGCACAAUGGGCGCAAGCCUGAUGCAGCGACGCCGCGUGAGGGAUGGAGGCCUUCGGGUUGUGAACCUCUUUCGCCAGUGAAGCAGGCCUGCCUCGUUUGUGGGUGGGUUGACGGUAGCUGGAUAAGAAGCGCCGGCUAACUACGUG